rnacentral:tRNA from 1 species
GCGCUCGUGGUGAAAUUGGUAGACACGCUGUCUUCAGGCGGCAGUGCCGUAAGGUGUGGAGGUUCGAAUCCUCUCGAGCGCACUA